AGGUGACAGGGCUGUCAGGCCGGGGUGCAGGCCGGCAGCCAGUGCUGGUGCCCGGCUCCCACGGACCGGCAUGGCUUGCAGGGAAGUCUUUUGGAUCAGGCACAGGACUCCAAAUUCUAUAGGGAUUGGAACAGGCACUGAAACACGGCAUCCUUCCUGGAUGGGAAAGAGCUGAGAGCCCCCGGGAGGCCUCCAGCCUGGCUGGCUUCACUCUGUUUUAUUCUGCUAGCUGAGUCUCACCUCUGUUAUGUGCUUCUGGGAAGAGGAGAGGUGAUAUGUGGCCAAAUCUGGUUACCCAAAGUUCCAAGACACGGCCCCUGUCAUCCAUUUGGACCAGGCUUUGGAGUUGAACAGACCUCAGCAUCAGGCAGAUUCCUUGAAGCCUCCGUUUCUCCAUAUAUAAAAUGGGAAUAAUGAGAAUAUCUGCCUCGUAGCUUGAAAUGAAUGUUAUAAACUCUGAAUGCGAAGCUAUGGGGGUGUGAAAGUUGCAGAUACCAGGAUGAAAUCACUUUUGUCAGAACCAGAAGAAUUAGAGCCGGGAAAUCACGAAGGAGGGGAACUCAUGCUUGCAUGUUUGAGAUAAGGACUGUCUCAAGGACUUUCUAAAAUAGCCCCCAAGAAAUUCCUUCUUCAGGACUGCAGCAAUUCAGGCAUUAUGGGGCCAGAUUUUAUGUCCGGAUUCCAUCAAUCCUGGCUUUUAUUUCCCUCCUUCUCAGUCUUGAGAGAGGGAAUAACUCAUGUUGAUGGCCAGGCUGCUCAGCGGAGGGGCUGCCGAGUCGCGGGUGCUGGCUGAGUCCCUGGUGGAGUCUGAGAAGCUACCACUAAAAGGCAGUCACUCGGGAUCCUUCCAGAAACUAGAAAGACUGUGGACUUUGGAACGAGAGGCUGUGCAUCCUUCCACCCACCCCAACACAUAUGCACGCAUGCACACCCCCCCACCCACAGAAUGUUAGUACUACUGAGUGUGACCAUUGACGUCUCCCCUAAAUGAGGCCUUACAGAGGCAAUUGUGUUGGCCCAGCAUAGAGGUCAGCAGACUACGGCCUCCCAGGCCGAAUCCAGCCCUCCCUCCUAUUUUUCUAAAUAAAGUUUUUAUUAGAUCACAGCCAUGCCCAUUUGUUUAUUUAUUGUCUAAAGCUGCUUUCAUGCUACAAUGGCAGAGUUGAGACGUUGAGACAGGCCCACAAAGCCUAAAGCUUAAAGCCCACAAAGUUUUUUGGCCCGGUGCAAAAGACCACAUAG
rnacentral:lncRNA from 1 species